AGUGGCGUCCGAGAUCCUCAAGGGCCAAGUAACUUCUUCAUCUUUACUAUGUCCUGAACAUUGAACAUGUUUAUCCUGGUGACAGCAAACAAUAUCCAGUUGGCAAAGGAUAAUACCUAGGUGAGAGGGGAUGAUGCCCAGGUGACGGGGACAAUGCUCAGCCUUAUGUCUCUACAGGCGGAGUGCCACAGAGAAGAAAGCCUGGGAGGAGCAGACACCUCGCUGCUGAGCUUUUUAAAGUUACGGAAACUGAGGAGCAUCGUUAUUUGAGGACAUCUCUAAUUUACUGUAUAUGCAAAUGACAGGGUGUAAACUCCACAAGCGCAAGGAAUAA